GCAUCUGUGCAGUGAGGAUGUUGCGCCGGCCGCUACCGUGAGUACACAUGCUGCUGACGGGGCCCACAGAGGACGCAAUGGAGGUCCUGCGACAGAGCGGACAGCACGCGGGCAAGAUGAGCGCCGGGAGCGGGUCUGGCGUGGCGGCGGCGGCUGCGGCGGCGGCAGCGGCGACGAGUGCGGGCGGCGCCAGCAGCCACAGCGCGGCGGCG